GGAGGAAAGCAGGGGAUCGCAAGACCUUGCGCUUUUGGAGCGGCCGAUGUCUGAUUAGCUAGUUGGUGAGGUAAAGGCUUACCAAGGCGUCGAUCAGUAGCUGGUCUGAGAGGGCGACCAGCCACACUGGGACUGAGACACGGCCCAGACUCCUACGGGAGGCAGCAGUGGGGAAUUUUGGACAAUGGGGGAAACCCUGAUCCAGCCAUGCCGCGUGAGUGAAGAAGGCCUUCGGGUUGUAAAGCUCUUUCAGCCGGAACGAAACGGUCACGGCUAAUACCUGUGACUACUGACGGUACCGGAAGAAGAAGCACCGGCUAACUACGUGCCAGCAGCCGCGGUAAUACGUAGGGUGCGAGCGUUAAUCGGAAUUACUGGGCGUAAAGCGUGCGCAGGCGGUUUUGUAAGUCAGAUGUGAAAUCCCCGGGCUUAACCUGGGAACUGCGUUUGAAACUACAAAGCUAG
rnacentral:rRNA from 1 species